GCAGAACAUCUUAGACUGUGAGCAAGGGAGUGAGACUGUCAGACUGCAAGAGAAACAGCAGAUCGCGUUUCUAUGAUUCUAAGAUCGUCUCCCAGUUCCAAAUAGUGCUGAGCUGAGCAAAGAUGAAUCAGGAACAAUCCUGAAGAGAGUUAUGAAGAUCAACAGUUCUGCAAAAGGAAAUUCAUCACUCCUCCCAUGGCUGCAUACGUUUUACAAGCACUCCCAAUCUGUCCCAUGCAAGUGAUUUUCAACCAUAACAGA